GCGGUGAAAUGCGCAGAUAUCAGGAGGAACACCGAUGGCGAAGGCAGGUCUCUGGGCAUUAACUGACGCUGAGGAGCGAAAGCAUGGGGAGCGAACAGGAUUAGAUACCCUGGUAGUCCAUGCCGUAAACGUUGGGCACUAGGUGUGGGGGACAUUCCACGUUUUCCGCGCCGUAGCUAACGCAUUAAGUGCCCCGCCUGGGGAGUACGGCCGCAAGGCUAAAACUCAAAGGAAUUGACGGGGGCCCGCACAAGCGGCGGAGCAUGCGGAUUAAUUCGAUGCAACGCGAAGAACCUUACCAAGGCUUGACAUGGGCCGGACCGGGCUGGAAACAGUCCUUCCCCUUUGGGGCCGGUUCACAGGUGGUGCAUGGUUGUCGUCAGCUCGUGUCGUGAGAUGUUGGGUUAAGUCCCGCAACGAGCGCAACCCUCGUUCCAUGUUGCCAGCGCGUAAUGGCGGGGACUCAUGGGAGACUGCCGGGGUCAACUCGGAGGAAGGUGGGGACGACGUCAAAUCAUCAUGCCCCUUAUGUCUUGGGCUUCACGCAUGCUACAAUGGCCGGUACAAAGGGUUGCGAUACUGUGAGGUGGAGCUAAUCCCAAAAAGCCGGUCUCAGUUCGGAUUGGGGUCUGCAACUCGACCCCAUGAAGUCGGAGUCGCUAGUAAUCGCAGAUCAGCAACGCUGCGGUGAAUACGUUCCCGGGCCUUGUACACACCGCCCGUCAAGUCACGAAAGUUGGUAACACC
rnacentral:rRNA from 1 species